rnacentral:tRNA from 1 species
GGUAGUAUGGCUGAUAUAAGCGAUAAACUGUAAAUUUAUUUAUGAGGGCCUCAAUCCCCUUUGCUACC